UUCGCAAAUGCGCAUCUGUUGCGUCCGCCAUUACUCCAGCUAGACUAACUGGCCAGAAUGCAUAUUAUAUGUAAAUAUAAUGGAGAGUUGUUUUUCGAAAAUUUGACGAAUGUAAAUUCACUUAUAGACAAAAUUUUUGAUGCCAUCGGACAGGACACCAAGGAUAUGAGUAAAGAGUUUCCUAUUUGAAUGGUCAAUGGAUUUGUUAGAAGCGAUAAAUCGACCUACUGUGCGUAAAGAACGUUUUUCCGGUGAAGACGUUAUUAGUAUAGAAUUUGGACUAAACUACCAUUAUUUUUGAUGCUUGAAUUGGGACUUUUCAUUUGCAAUGUAGCUUGUCUGCAUAAUUGUAAUUGAAAGUUUUUAUUUGUAAUUGUAAAUUCAGUUCCUAUGGCUAUCAUGUCUCUCAAAUUUGUAUUAUCUUACAAAUAAAGAUUUUUUUUUUAAAAUAAACAAUAUAUGAAAUUACAA